GUCUACGGCCAUGCCACCCUAAACAAGCCAGAUCCCAUCUGAUCUUGGAAGCUAAGCAGGGUCGGGCCUGGUUAGUACUUGGAUGGGAGACCUCCUAGGAAGACCAGGUGCUAUAGGUG
rnacentral:rRNA from 1 species